AGUCGAACGGUAACAUGGAAAAGCUUGCUUUUCUGAUGACGAGUGGCGCACGGGUGCGUAACGCGUAUGCAAUCUACCUUUUACAGGGGGAUAGCCCAGAGAAAUUUGGAUUAAUAUCCCAUAGUAUCAAGAGUCGGCAUCGGCAUUUGAUUAAAGAUUUAUCGGUAAAAGAUGAGCAUGCGUCCUAUUAGCUAGAUGGUGUGGUAACGGCACACCAUGGCAACGAUAGGUAGGGGCCCUGAGAGGGGGAUCCCCCACACUGGUACUGAGACACGGACCAGACUCCUACGGGAGGCAGCAGUGAGGAAUAUUGGACAAUGGGCGCAAGCCUGAUCCAGCCAUGCCGCGUGCAGGAAGACUGCCCUAUGGGUUGUAAACUGCUUUUAUACGGGAAGAAACACUCCCUCGUGAGGGAGCUUGACGGUACCGUAAGAAUAAGGAUCGGCUAACUCCGUGCCAGCAGCCGCGGUAAUACGGAGGAUCCAAGCGUUAUCCGGAAUCAUUGGGUUUAAAGGGUCCGUAGGUGGAUAAUUAAGUCAGAGGUGAAAUCCUGCAGCUCAACUGUAGAAUUGCCUUUGAUACUGGUUAUCUUGAGUCAUUAUGAAGUGGUUAGAAUAUGUAGUGUAGCGGUGAAAUGCAUAGAUAUUACAUAGAAUACCAAUUGCGAAGGCAGAUCACUAAUAAUGUACUGACACUGAUGGACGAAAGCGUGGGGAGCGAACAGGAUUAGAUACCCUGGUAGUCCACGCCGUAAACGAUGGUCACUAGCUGUUCGGAUUUCGGUCUGAGUGGCUAAGCGAA
rnacentral:rRNA from 1 species